CGUCGGGAGGAGGGGACACACCGACAGGCUCAUAACCUGAAGGUCGUAGGUUCAAAUCCUACCCCCGCAACCA
rnacentral:tRNA from 1 species